ensembl:lncRNA
CCUCACCCGGGGGAGGGGGGCUGCGGAGCUGACGAGCACACGGCGGGGCACGGGGACCCCGUGUCCGUCCGGCCCGGGGCCGCGCGGGCUGUGCCGCUUCGUGAGCCCCCCUCCGUCCGCCCGCGGAGCUGCUGGGGCCAACGCGGAGCCGACGAGCGCCCCCUCCCCCAACAUCCCCCCCCGCGGCCGCCACAUGGUCUCGCCGGGGGGAGAGCUUUUGUCCCCCGCGCACCGCCGUAGGCGGGCGUUUUCCCGCCGCCGUUGUCAUGGCGCUGGAGGUGCUGCGGCCGCGCGGCGUGCGCCUGGCGCUGCUGGCGGCCUUCGCGGCGGGCGUGCUGGUGGGCUGGCAGGCCGGGCGCGCCCGCCGCCGCUUCCUCCAGUGGCGCAAGCGGCGGCUCCAGCAGCGCCUGGCCGCCGCGCAGGAGCAGCUCGAGCUGGCCUGAGCGCGCCUUGUGUUGAUGGGAGUGGACAGUGAAUGAACAUAAUGGAUUCCUCUUGCAUCUCUAUCUAAAUGGAUUUAAAAAGAACUCUUUUAAAAAUCGUGUUACAGUGCUGUUGGAAAAGGAAAGCAUCUUGUAGAAUGACAGGACCUAUCUUUUACAAACUGUUGUCAGAAAAAAGAUCUUCACCUACAUCAGACUAACCCAUCUAGCAAAAUGUUGAGAGACAAGUUAAUUUUGAACAACACCAAAUAUUUUUCCUUAUUUGGAAGGACUAUCUCUACUUAAUCUUGCUUUGUCAUCCCUAAGACUGAGGUAUAUUGCUCUGCUCUUGCCAAGAAGUACUGCUGGUACAUUAAACUAGUAAAAAGCUUAUGUGGUGUAUCCUAGGUAUGUUUAUUAUUCUGAUAAGUGAAAGUAUAGCCUAAGGAUAUUCAUAAUGAGGGAUAAAUCUCAUUAUGAAAAUACAUAAAUGAAAAAAGCCCAUGGGAACAAUUAAGUGAUGAUACACCAGCAUGCAAUGGUAGGAUGAACUAGUAUAUUAAAUUAAUGAUGGUUGUGCUUUGGACAUUGAAUUUCAGGGAACAUAAGGUACUGGAUUAUAUAUCCUAUCAUGUAGUCAUUGCAAAGACUACACUGGUUCUUUAGGCUUACUAUUUUAUAUCACAGCCACUUCCAGCAAAUGGACAUCAUGACCUAAAAUUCUUAAUGGUUUUCCCUUGGACUUGUGCCUCAUACUGCAGAUAGCAGUAGUUUGUUCCUUUUGCGCUUCCAAGAGUAUUUCCUUGAGUCAGAGAGAAGGUGGUGCUCCUGGUUUGUGUCAGAGUAUUUAUUGCAAGCUAUGCAGAUUGCUGAUCUUAAAGUUCAUAAUCUAAGUUGAAUUAUACUUCUGCCUUUUCUCCAGGUUUGUGGAUUUGCUUUUUUUGUUUAGUUGGUUGCUUUUUUUUAGCUUUGGUGUGUUUGCAUAGGGGAAGUCUAACUCUUGUGGCUUGGGCACACCUAUUUCUGAUGUGGUGUAAUGUACUGCGCUUGCCUUAAGAGAGAAUUUUGAGGAUUUAAUUUAACAACUCCCAUUGGCAUACUAGUACCCCCCCCCAAAAAAUUUUUUUGAAAAAAAAAAAAACAAAAAACCAAACAACCCUGUUCUGUGCCCUUUAAUGUCACGAAAUGUUGAUUUGUAACUGAAUAAAGUAGUCUGUGGAUAGAAACA